CGGAGUAUGGCGCAGUUUGGUAGCGCGCUUGCAUGGGGUGCAAGAGGUCGCAGGUUCGAAUCCUGUUACUCCGACCA
rnacentral:tRNA from 1 species